ensembl:lncRNA
AAAGAACACAGUGUUGGGGCCUAUAUCCUAGGCCCCCCGCCUCAUCGGCCCAGACAGAAUGGGGAGCUGGCAGCAGCUCCUAGCCCUCAGGCCAGGAGAAGUCACCCAACCUGUGCACAGCCCACUUGUUCCCAGGGGCCACGACUGCAAGACUGUGGCUCCUCCCCCCGACACGCCCUCGAGGCCAGGGAAAAUCCUGAUAACUUAAGAAGUUUCCCUAACCUGGGGACCCCCACUGCCCACUGCUGGAAAUAAGAACCUCAGUGUCUCUGAUACUUCGUGUGACCGAGGCAGACUUGUGGUUGUUGGCGGCGUCGGACAGCAUUUUCCAAACUGCUGAUAAAUCCCAACAGCUGAAGACCAACAAGAACCAAUCUAGAGUCCAAAGAAGUUAUUAUUAACUUGCUGCAACAAGGAAGAAUACCCCUACAGAAACCAUAAAGUACCUCACCAAAUAAAAGACAACAUAAGGAUAUAAGAUGAUUUUGAAGAAGGGUGGAGUUUAGGUAUUGCCAAAGCGUCAUCAGGGUUUAGUUCUUGCUGCUAUGCUGCCCCAGGGUGCUAAAAUGUGAAUGAUGCAUAAUAUCCCUAUGGAUGUGAUCAGUCUAAUCAAAGCGGCCCUGGAGCCUAGGUUUCGCUUCUUUGAGUUUAGCAAGUCCAGCUCUUACUGCCAAGCACAACUUCCUCAACACUGACCCCUCCUUCUGGGUGACUUAGGCUACCCUGUUGCUACAUACUGAUUUCUGUGAAGCCAUGGACUGCAUCUUAGCUGAUUCUCACCUAGUCAACUCUGCACCAGAAGAACAGGAGUAGCCAAAUCCAUUCAGCUGCUUAAAAAGGGAGGAAAUUUUAAUUAUUUUCAUUGAUCUGUGCCCUACUUUAUCUUCUUCAAUCAUAUUUUUACUCUUAAUCAGGAAUAUGUUUCCCUUUCCUAAUGAAUAUUCCAAUGAGCUCUGGAGAUCUGGUGUUCCAUAUACGGUGCAUUCCUGAGCUCCUGUCAUAUUAAAUUUGCAUACCCAUUCAUACCUAUGUAGCAUUACUUGCUUAACUGAGGAAGGAGUAGGUAAGGAGUGAGCAUAAUAUGCCACUGAUGUUUCACUGUUUGUAUUUUUUUUUCUAAUGAGGCUUGUAAACUAUUUUAUUCAUUUAGAAAAAAAGGAAGAAAAACUGGCCUAAGAAACUUAGUGUUGAAAAAAAGGAAAAGAGAGCACAUAGAGUACACAGCAACAGUGCAAAUCAAAAAGUGCGUACACAUUUUAUGAGAAAAACAAAAGAAUAGAAAGAACAGACUGGUGGUUACCAGAGGGAGGGGGAGGAGGGUGGGAAAAUGGGUGAAGGCUAUCAAAAGACACAAACUUCCAGUUAGAAGAUUAAUAAGUUCUAGGAAUAUAAUGUACAGCAUGGUGACUAAAGUUAAGAAUACUAUACUGUAUAUUCGAAAGUACCUAAGAGCAGAUUUUAAAAGUUCUCACCACACACAAAAAAAAUGUAUAACUAUGUGAGGAGAUGGAUACGUUAACUUAUUGUGGCAAUAAUUUUGCAAUAUAUACAUACAUAAAAUCACUAUGUAUAUACCUUAAACCUAUGUCAAUUAUAUCUCAAUAAAGCCGGAAAAAAUAAAAUUUUAAAAACCAUAUUUUGAAUACCGCCUAAGAGGGAGGAGGGCAUGAGAGUGAUAAAUGGGAUUGAAGAAUAAUUAAAAACAAAUAGAAUACACUGGUCCUCUGGCAGAUCAAUACUAGUGGUUCAGAAACUGGAAUGUGAUUAACUUAACCCUGGGCACUUGAGGUUAAAAAUAAAUACAGAAAUUUUAAAAAACUUGACCAAC